rnacentral:rRNA from 1 species
AGUCAAUAGAUACCCCGGUAGUCCAUGCCGUAAACGAUGAAUACUAGGUGUAGGGGUUGUCAUGACCUCUGUGCCGCCGCUAACGCAUUAAGUAUUCCGCCUGGGGAGUAAGGUCGCAAGAUUAAAACUCAAAGGAAUUGACGGGGGCCCGCACAAGCAGCGGAGCAUGUGGUUUAAUUCGAAGCAACGCGAAGAACCUUACCUAGACUUGACAUCUCCUGAAUUACUCUGUAAUGGAGGAAGCCACUUCGGUGGCAGGAAGACAGGUGGUGCAUGGUUGUCGUCAGCUCGUGUCGUGAGAUGUUGGGUUAAGUCCCGCAACGAGCGCAACCCUUAUUGUUAGUUGCUACCAUUUAGUUGAGCACUCUAGCGGGACUGCCCGGGUUAACCGGGAGGAAGGUGGGGAUGACGUCAAAUCAUCAUGCCCCUUAUGUCUAGGGCUACACACGUGCUACAAUGGUCGGUACAAUGAGAUGCAACCUCGCGAGAGUGAGCAAAACUAUAAAACCGAUCUCAGUUCGGAUUGUAGGCU